AAUCAACGCUGGCGGCGUGCCUAACACAUGCAAGUCGAGCGCGAAAGUGGACUUCGGUCCACGAGUAGAGCGGCGAACGGGUGAGUAACGCGUGGGUGAUCUGCCCUCGAGUGGGGAAUAACACCGGGAAACUGGUGCUAAUACCGCAUGACACCUUCGGUUCGUUCCGAAGGUCAAAGCCGGGGACCGUAAGGCCUGGCGCUUGAGGAGGAGCCCGCGUCCGAUUAGCUUGUUGGCGGGUAAUGGCCCACCAAGGCUUCUAUCGGUAGCCGGCCUGAGAGGGCGGACGGCCACACUGGGACUGAGACACGGCCCAGACUCCUACGGGAGGCAGCAGUGGGGAAUUUUCCGCAAUGGGGGAAACCCUGACGGAGCAACGCCGCGUGGAGGAUGAAGGCCCUCGGGUCGUAAACUCCUGUCGAUCGGGAAGAAUGCGUCCGACUUAAUACGUCGGUUCGUUGACUGUACCGGUGGAGGAAGCCACGGCUAACUCUGUG
rnacentral:rRNA from 1 species